ACGCUGGCGGCGUGCUUAACACAUGCAAGUCGAACGAAGAGUGAUGGAAGCUUGCUUCUAUCAAUCUUAGUGGCGAACGGGUGAGUAACGCGUAAUCAACCUGCCCUUCAGAGGGGGACAACAGUUGGAAACGACUGCUAAUACCGCAUACGAUCUGACCUCGGCAUCGAGGAUAGAUGAAAGGUGGCCUCUAUUUAUAAGCUAUCACUGAAGGAGGGGAUUGCGUCUGAUUAGCUAGUUGGAGGGGUAACGGCCCGCCAAGGCGAUGAUCAGUAGCCGGUCUGAGAGGAUGAACGGCCACAUUGGGACUGAGACACGGCUCAGACUCCUACGGGAGGCAGCAGUGGGGAAUCUUCCGCAAUGGACGAAAGUCUGACGGAGCAACGCCGCGUGAGUGAUGACGGCCUUCGGGUUGUAAAGCUCUGUUAAUCGGGACGAAAGGCCUUCUUGCGAAUAGUUAGAAGGAUUGACGGUACCGGAAUAGAAAGCCACGGCUAACUACGUGCCAGCAGCCGCGGUAAUACGUAGGUGGCAAGCGUUGUCCGGAAUUAUCGGGCGUAAAGCGCGCGCAGGCGGAUUGGUCAGUCUGUCUUAAAAGUUCGGGGCUUAACCCCGUGAUGGGAUGGAAACUGCCAAUCUAGAGUAUCGGAGAGGAAAGUGGAACUCCUAGUGUAGCGGUGAAAUGCGUAGAUAUUAGGAAGAACACCAGUGGCGAAGGCGACUUUCUGGACGAAAACUGACGCUGAGGCGCGAAAGCCAGGGGAGCGAACGGGAUUAGAUACCCCGGUAGUCCUGGCCGUAAACGAUGGGUACUAGGUGUGGGAGGUAUCGACCCCUUCUGUGCCGGAGUUAACGCAAUAAGUACCCCGCCUGGGGAGUACGACCGCAAGGUUGAAACUCAAAGGAAUUGACGGG
rnacentral:rRNA from 1 species